UUAAGUGACUAAGCGUACACGGUGGAUGCCUUGGCAGUCAGAGGCGAUGAAAGACGUAGUAACUUGCGAUAAGCCCAGAUUAGGUAGUAACAACCAUUUGAGUCUGGGAUUUCUGAAUGGGGAAACCCACGUGCAUAAGCACGUAUCCUUACCUGAAUACAUAGGGUAAGGAGGCGAACCGGGGGAACUGAAACAUCUAAGUACCCCGAGGAAAAGAAAUCAACCGAGAUUCCGAAAGUAGCGGCGAGCGAAAUUGGACUAGCCCUUAAGCUUUACACGCGUUAGACGAACGGUCUGGAAAGUCCGACGAUACAGGGUGAUAGUCCCGUAGUUGACGACGUGUGUUCAGUGAAAUCGAGUAGGGCGGGACACGUGAUAUCCUGUCUGAAUAUGGGGGGACCAUCCUCCAAGGCUAAAUACUACUGACUGACCGAUAGUGAACCAGUACCGUGAGGGAAAGGCGAAAAGAACCCCUGUGAGGGGAGUGAAAUAGAACCUGAAACCGUGUACGUACAAGCAGUAGGAGCAGGCUUUGUCCUGUGACUGCGUACCUUUUGUAUAAUGGGUCAGCGACUUAUAUUCAGUGGCAAGGUUAACCAUCUAGGGGAGCCGUAGGGAAACCGAGUCUUAACUGGGCGUUCAGUCUCUGGAUAUAGACCCGAAACCAGGUGAUCUAGCCAUGGGCAGGUUGAAGGUUGAGUAACAUCAACUGGAGGACCGAACCGACUAAUGUUGAAAAAUUAGCGGAUGACUUGUGGCUAGGGGUGAAAGGCCAAUCAAACCUGGAGAUAGCUGGUUCUCCCCGAAAGCUAUUUAGGUAGCGCCUCGGACGAAUACUACUGGGGGUAGAGCACUGUUAAGGCUAGGGGGUCAUCCCGACUUACCAACCCUUUGCAAACUCCGAAUACCAGUAAGUACUAUCCGGGAGACACACGGCGGGUGCUAACGUCCGUCGUGGAGAGGGAAACAACCCAGACCGCCAGCUAAGGUCCCAAAUUAUUACUAAGUGGGAAACGAUGUGGGAAGGCUCAGACAGCCAGGAUGUUGGCUUAGAAGCAGCCAUCAUUUAAAGAAAGCGUAAUAGCUCACUGGUCGAGUCGGCCUGCGCGGAAGAUGUAACGGGGCUAAGUAGUAAACCGAAGCUGCGGCAAUAUACUUUUGUAUAUUGGGUAGGGGAGCGUUCUGUAAGCGGUUGAAGGUGUGUGGUAACGCAUGCUGGACGUAUCAGAAGUGCGAAUGCUGACAUGAGUAACGAUAAAGGGGGUGAAAAACCUCCUCGCCGGAAGACCAAGGGUUCCUGUCCAACGUUAAUCGGGGCAGGGUAAGUCGACCCCUAAGGCGAGGCCGAAAGGCGUAGUCGAUGGGAAACGGGUUAAUAUUCCCGUACUUCUUACAAUUGCGAUGGGGGGACGGAGAAGGCUAGGUGGGCCUGGCGACGGUUGUCCAGGUUCAAGUGCGUAGGCUUAAGAGUUAGGUAAAUCCGGCUCUUUCUAAGGCUGAGACACGACGUCGAGCACCUACGGGUGUGAAGUCAUUGAUGCCAUGCUUCCAGGAAAAGCCUCUAAGCUUCAGAUUGUAAGGAAUCGUACCCCAAACCGACACAGGUGGUCGGGUAGAGAAUACCAAGGCGCUUGAGAGAACUCGGGUGAAGGAACUAGGCAAAAUGGUACCGUAACUUCGGGAGAAGGUACGCUCUUGAUGGUGAAGUCCCUCGCGGAUGGAGCUGACGAGAGUCGCAGAUACCAGGUGGCUGCAACUGUUUAUUAAAAACACAGCACUGUGCAAAAUCGUAAGAUGACGUAUACGGUGUGACGCCUGCCCGGUGCCGGAAGGUUAAUUGAUGGGGUUAGACUUCGGUCGAAGCUCUUGAUCGAAGCCCCGGUAAACGGCGGCCGUAACUAUAACGGUCCUAAGGUAGCGAAAUUCCUUGUCGGGUAAGUUCCGACCUGCACGAAUGGCGUAAUGAUGGCCACGCUGUCUCCACCCGAGACUCAGUGAAAUUGAAAUCGCUGUGAAGAUGCAGUGUACCCGCGGCUAGACGGAAAGACCCCGUGAACCUUUACUACAGCUUGGCACUGAACAUUGACCCUACAUGUGUAGGAUAGGUGGGAGGCUUUGAAGCACGUACGCCAGUAUGUGUGGAGCCGUCCUUGAAAUACCACCCUUGUAGUGUUGAUGUUCUAACGUCGACCCCUAAUCGGGGUUGCGGACAGUGCCUGGUGGGUAGUUUGACUGGGGCGGUCUCCUCCCAAAGAGUAACGGAGGAGCACGAAGGUGGGCUAAUCACGGUUGGACAUCGUGAGGUUAGUGCAAUGGCAUAAGCCCGCUUGACUGCGAGAAUGACAAUUCGAGCAGGUGCGAAAGCAGGUCAUAGUGAUCCGGUGGUUCUGAAUGGAAGGGCCAUCGCUCAACGGAUAAAAGGUACUCCGGGGAUAACAGGCUGAUACCGCCCAAGAGUUCAUAUCGACGGCGGUGUUUGGCACCUCGAUGUCGGCUCAUCACAUCCUGGGGCUGAAGUCGGUCCCAAGGGUAUGGCUGUUCGCCAUUUAAAGUGGUACGCGAGCUGGGUUUAGAACGUCGUGAGACAGUUCGGUCCCUAUCUGCCGUGGGCGUUGGAAGAUUGAAGGGGGCUGCUCCUAGUACGAGAGGACCGGAGUGGACGAACCUCUGGUGUUCGGGUUGUGUCGCCAGACGCAUUGCCCGGUAGCUAAGUUCGGAAUCGAUAACCGCUGAAAGCAUCUAAGCGGGAAGCGAGCCCUGAGAUGAGUCUUCCCUGAUACUUUAAGUAUCCUAAAGGGUUGUCGGAGACUACGACGUUGAUAGGUCAGGUGUGUAAGUGCUGUGAGGCAUUGAGCUAACUGAUACUAAUUGCCCGUGAGGCUUAACCAU
rnacentral:rRNA from 1 species